GAGGGUACAGCUCAAGUGGUAGAGUGCGUGCGUAGCAAGCACUAGGUUCUGGGUUCAAUCCCCAGUACCGCUA
rnacentral:tRNA from 1 species